CGGACGCUGCCUCGCGCGUUAGGCCACUGUAUUCCUGGGGCCAACAUCAAAGCCCUCGGGAGCUGUCCCUGCCGGAGCCGUGGUUCCGGUACACGGCGCCCACCUUAGACUGAGGGCCUUAGUGAAUAAGUAAGGCCGACGGCCGGGCGGCUCCGU
rnacentral:other from 1 species